rnacentral:rRNA from 1 species
GAUGAACGCUGGCGGCGUGCCUAAUACAUGCAAGUCGAGCGAACAGACGAGGAGCUUGCUCCUCUGACGUUAGCGGCGGACGGGUGAGUAACACGUGGAUAACCUACCUAUAAGACUGGGAUAACUUCGGGAAACCGGAGCUAAUACCGGAUAAUAUAUUGAACCGCAUGGUUCAAUAGUGAAAGACGGUUUUGCUGUCACUUAUAGAUGGAUCCGCGCCGCAUUGGCUAGUUGGUAAGGUAACGGCUUACCAAGGCAACGAUGCGUAGCCGACCUGUGAGGGUGGUCGGCCACCCGGGAGCUUGGCCACGCUCCUUACUCCUACGGGAGGCCCCAGUAGGCAACCGUCCGCAAUGGUCGAAAGCUUGGCGGAGCAGCGCCGCGUCAGUGAUGAAGGCCUUCGGAGCGUAAAGCUCGCUUAUUAGUUAUGAACAAAUUUGUAAUUAACCAUGCACGUCUUGACGGUACCGGAUAAGAAAGCCACGGCUAACUACGUG